CCCACCAUUCUCUGAAUGACGCAUACAUUCGAUCUUUAUACGCAUCAGCACUGUGGCUGGUACGUGUUCUUUUAAAACUUGUGACGUAGCGAGCGUUUGAGAUGUUCUAUCAGACGUGUCGUGAGGCUAAGGCGAGAGACGCAAGUCUCUUUAUUGAUUGAGUCGUUAUAUUCGUAUCCGGGCUUUGUACCCCCGGGUCAUGUGUAACCCAAGGCAACUUGCGGUUAUAUGGUCAAGCGAAUAAGCGCACACGGUGGAUGCCUUGGCGGUCAGAGGCGAUGAAGGACGUGGCAGCCUGCGAAAAGUAUCGGGGAGCUGGCAACAAGCUUUGAUCCGGUAAUGUCCGAAUGGGGAAACCCACCCGCUUGCGGGUAUCCUGCAGUGAAUACAUAGCUGCUGGAAGCGAACCUGGUGAACUGAAAUAUCUAAGUAACCAGAGGAAAAGAAAUCAACCGAGAUUCCGUAAGUAGCGACGAGCGAACGCGGACUAGCCCUUAAGCUGGAUUGGUUCUAGGAAAACGCUCUGGAAAGAGCGGCCAUAGAAGGUGAUAGCCCUGUAUCUGAAAGGGCCAUUCCAGUGAAGACGAGUAGGGCGGGGCACGUGAAACCCUGUCUGAACAUGGGGGGACCAUCCUCCAAGGCUAAAUACUACUGACCGACCGAUAGUGAACCAGUAC
rnacentral:sRNA from 1 species